GUGGCGAAAGCGAGAACUUAGGUCACAACUGACGCUUAGGCUCGAAAGUGUGGGGAUCAAAUAGGAUUAGAUACCCUAGUAGUCCACACUGUAAACGAUGGUCAUUUGUUGUUGGUGCAUCAGCAUCAGUAACGAAGCUAACGCAUUAAAUGACCCGCCUGGGUAGUACAUUCGCAAGAAUGAAACUCAAACGGAAUUGACGGGGACCCGCACAAGUGGUGGAGCAUGUUGUUUAAUUCGACAGUACACGAAGAACCUUACCAGGGUUUGACAUCCUCGGCAAAGCUAUAGAAAUAUAGUGGAGGUUAACCGAGAGACAGGUGGUGCAUGGUUGUCGUCAGCUCGUGUCGUGAGAUGUUGGGUUAAGUCCCGCAACGAGCGCAACCCUUAUUGAUAGUUACUUUAUCUAUCGAGACUGCCAACGUAAGUUGGAGGAAGGUGGGGAUGACGUCAAAUCAUCAUGCCCUUUAUAUCCUGGGCCACAAACGUGCUACAAUGGUUGGUACAAAGUGUUGCCAAACCGUAAGGUGGAGCUAAUCACAAAAAACCAAUCUCAGUUCGGAUUGAGGGCUGAAAUUCGUCCUCAUGAAGUUGGAAUCA
rnacentral:rRNA from 1 species